UGCUGGAGGUAUCAGAAGUGCGAAUGCUGACAUGAGUAACGAUAAAGGGAGUGAAAAACUCCCUCGCCGGAAGACCAAGGGUUCCUGUCCAACGUUAAUCGGGGCAGGGUAAGUCGACUCCUAAGGCGAGGCCGAAAGGCGUAGUCGAUGGGAAACGGGUUAAUAUUCCCGUACUUCUUACAAUUGCGAUGGGGGGACGGAGAAGGCUAGGUGGGCCUGGCGACGGUUGUCCAGGUUCAAGUAUGUAGGCGGAAAGUUUAGGUAAAUCCGGACUUUC
rnacentral:rRNA from 1 species